rnacentral:rRNA from 1 species
UACAGAGGUCUCAAGCGUUGUUCGGAUUCAUUGGGCGUAAAGGGUGCGUAGGUGGCGCCGUAAGUCAGGUGUGAAAUUUCGGAGCUCAACUCCGAAACUGCAUUUGAUACUGCGGUGCUUGAGGACUGGAGAGGAGACUGGAAUUCACGGUGUAGCAGUGAAAUGCGUAGAUAUCGUGAGGAAGACCAGUGGCGAAGGCGGGUCUCUGGACAGUUCCUGACACUGAGGCACGAAGGCCAGGGGGAGCAAACGGGG